GUGGGUGUAGCUCAGUGGUAGGGCACUUACCUAGCACAUGAGGGGCACUGGGUUCGAUCCUCAGCACCACA
rnacentral:tRNA from 1 species